rnacentral:rRNA from 1 species
GGAGUCAACCUUGGGAUACCACCCUGACAGUACUGAAAUUCUAACUGGCGGCCAUGAAUCUGGUCACAGGACAUUGUUAGGUGGGCAGUUUGACUGGGGCGGUCGCCUCCUAAAAAGUAACGGAGGCGCCCAAAGGUUCCCUCAGAACGGUCGGAAAUCGUUCGAAGAGUGCAAAGGCAGAAGGGAGCCUGACUGCGACACCCACAAGUGGAGCAGGGACGAAAGUCGGGCUUAGUGAUCCGGUGGUACCUCGUGGGAGGGCCAUCGCUCAACGGAUAAAAGCUACCUCGGGGAUAACAGGCUGAUCUCCCCCAAGAGUCCACAUCGACGGGGAGGUUUGGCACCUCGAUGUCGGCUCGUCGCAUCCUGGGGCUGAAGUAGGUCCCAAGGGUUGGGCUGUUCGCCCAUUAAAGCGGCACGCGAGCUGGGUUCAGAACGUCGUGAGACAGUUC